UACGUAGGGUACGAGCGUUGUCCGGAAUUAUUGGGCGUAAAGAGCUUGUAGGCGGUUUGUCGCGUCUGCUGUGAAAAUCCGGGGCUCAACCUCCAGCCUGCAGUGGGUACGGGCAAACUAGAGUGCGGUAGGGGAGAUUGGAAUUCCUGGUGUAGCGGUGGAAUGCGCAGAUAUCAGGAGGAACACCGAUGGCGAAGGCAGAUCUCUGGGCCGUAACUGACGCUGAGGAGCGAAAGCAUGGGGAGCGAACAGG
rnacentral:rRNA from 1 species